CUUUUUGUUAAUUAAUUUAAAGUCUGGCCUGCCCUAUGAGUUAUUUAAAUGGCCGCGGUAUUUUGACCGUGCAAAGGUAGCAUAAUCAUUAGUUUUUUAAUUGAAAGCUGGAAUGAAGGGUUGGAUGAGAAAAUAUCUGUCUCUUUUUAAAUUUAUUAGAACUUUAUUUUUAAGUUAAAAAGCUUAAAUUUUGUUUGAAGACGAGAAGACCCUGUAGAGUUUUAUAUUUUUGUAAUAAAAAGAUUUUUGGUAUUUAAUUUUUUUUUAUUAGAUAAAUAUUUGGUUGGGGUGACAGGAAAAUUUAGUAAACUUUUUUUUUUAUUUUACAUUUAUUUAUGAGUUUUUGAUCCUUGUUUUUAAAGAUUAGAAGAUUAAAUUACCUCAGGGAUAACAGCGUAAUUUUUUCUAAGAGUUCUAAUCGAAGAUAAAGKUUGCGACCUCGAUGUUGGAUUAAAGUUAAUUUCUGGUGUAGUAGUUAGG
rnacentral:rRNA from 1 species